AUGCCCAGCCCGUAGCGGCGCCGAUCCCCGCGCUGACGCGUGGUCCAGCCCCGGGCUCUCUCCUGGCGGGAGAAGCUUUGCGAUCGAGAGUCGGACGCCAGCCCCGGUCGGAAUGACCUGGGCGAGGUCGGCGUGUCUGUCUCGAGAGCGUCGGACUGACUGAUGGCAAGUACUGGGGCCAUUAGGGUUCGAGCCGUCCUCGCCUCGCUCACUCCCCCCGCCCUCCUAGUGGGGAGGAGCCCCGAGGUGGGGAGGAGCGCUCGUCGACCGCACAGUGAGUGAGUACGCGCCCCACCGGGGUGCUCCGAGUCCCUGUCCUGCUCGUCCCGGUGCAGCCCCUGCGGUGGGCAGUGAGUCCGCGCUCCCCCGGGUGCUACGAGUCCCCGUCCUGCUCGUCCCCGUGCAACCCCUGGGGUGGGCAUUGAGUCCCCGGGGUGCUCCGAGUCCCCGUCCUGCUCAUCCCCGUGCAGCCCCUAAGGUAGGCAGUUAGCCCGCGCUCCCCCAGGGUGCUCCAAGUCUCCUGCCCUGCUCCUCCCAAUGCAGCCUGGCACCCCAUAACACCCCUAGGGAGCACCCAGGAUGCUGCAGAGCUUUGGGGUGUGGUCCACAAAGAGCCACCCACCUGCUCUUAGCCACAUCCUUCCUGGUGGGAAGUAUACUUCUCUGAGACCAUGGGUGGGAGGAGGAGGCUGGGAGUGCCCUUCCUUCCUUUUUCACCACACCCUCCUGCUCCUCCACAUCAACCAGCACUUAGAAAUGGGCCACUUAAACAAGUGGCCAGUUCCAGGGCGGGGACAGGAAAAUACAAGAUGAACCUGGCGCAUCCUGCAUCACUAGAAAGUAAGGAGGGGCUUGCAGAAUGAGGGUGGGAUGGGCAAGGACUCAGGAGCCAACCUGAAUGGCCAAAGCAGGAACAGUGUGAGCUGCAGAGCAAAUAAUACUACUGAGUUAUAACUUACAGGGUAACAGAAAUACCCUCGAAUCCAUAGCGAUAAAGUGUAAACAAGUAAGUGAAGGAGAAGGAACAGCUCUUUCCUGUGGAAAGACCACAAUUAACAGACCAUAGUAAGGAUGAAAGAACUGGAAAAACAACUUUAGGCGAAUGACAGCAUAGUCAUUGUUGCAAGCCAGAUCUCAGAGAUGCUAGACUAGUGGGAAAAAGCUUUGAGACCGAUUAUUGCCUCAAAUCUCUCUCCCAAGAUACUUAUUAACAGGGACAAAUAGUAACUUCAUAGUGGAAAAACUUGAUCAACACAUCUCAACCAGGUAAUUAAGGUAUACAACGACAGCAUUGGCCCCCGACAUCAUAAUGCAUCGAGAAAGAUACAGCAGCACUCCUGUGGUUUUCUUGCCAAAAAUGCAUCCCCUCAAUCAGAUCAUGGGAAAACUUCAGAGAAAUUCAAGCAAGGACAUGGUACAAUGUAACUGAGUACUCUUCAAAAGGGCCAAGCUCCCAAGAGAAGGAAAUUCUGAGGAACUGUCCCAGAUUGGAGGUGUCUAAGGAGAAUGACAACUGAAUGCAAUGUGGGGUUGCAGAUUGGCUUGGACUAGGAACAGUACUACUGUGGAAAAACAUGAAAUCUGAGUGAAGUCUGUAGUGUAGCUGACAGUAUUUGCCAUGGACUGAAUGUUUGUGUGUUCCCGGAACUUCAUACAUUGAAACCUAAUCCCCAGUGUGAUGGUGUUUGGAGGUGAGGCCUUUGGGAAGUGCUUAGAUCAUGAGAAUGGAGCCCUCAUGAAUGGCUUCAGUACCCUUGGAAAGGAGCUGAGAGAAGACAGCUGUCUGUGAACCCAGAAGUGGACUUUCACCAGGCACCAAAUCUGCUUAUACCGUGGUUUUGGACUUCCAGCCUCCAGAACUGCAAGAAAUAAAUUGUUUUUUAAGCACCCA